CAAACGCACACACACUCUUCACAGCACACACACACUCCUGUAGGACACACACACUAAACACACACACACACACACACACACACACCGAUAAUCAGACAGGUGGAUGACUGGGCCGGGAGCAGAUUCUGCACGGAACCGACAAGAACAGAGGAGAGAACGUGGGCUGAGGCGGAACACGCCACACAGGAAGAGCUGAGCGGGAGAUGGUGGAACCCAGGAUCUUCUAGCGCCGUGUGUGUGUGUGAGGGAGAGAGAGUCUUCUGUCCGAGAGGGGAGCACCUCCAUCUCAACUCAGAAAUCAGCGGAACCCAAUCUACAGCUAUGGAGUUGAAUGCGCUGGGCCUGCUGGUGGGCGGGACUCUCCUCCUGUCCAUCAUCAUGCUGAUUGGCCAGUGCCUGAGCUGCAGGAGACACCCCAAUGUCAUCAACCAACGGCCAGACGAUUCAGACUACACACAGAGUGGAGCUGAGAGUUUCAUAGUGCCGAGGCCAGGGACACGAGUGUACUCACCUAAUGAGACCCUAAGCCCAUGGCCCAGGCCCGCCCCGUCUCCUUUGCCAGACAUCUCAGAGGAUGGUGCAGAUGACUCGUCUCAGGACUACGUCAACAACUCUUCUGAUGAGGAGGAGUCCACCUCAGGACGCAACUACAUGUAAGUUCCUAACACACACACACACACACACACACACACACACACACACACACACACACACACACACACACACAC
ensembl:lncRNA